rnacentral:rRNA from 1 species
GACAGAGGAUGCAAGCGUUAUCCGGAAUGAUUGGGCGUAAAGCGUCUGUAGGUGGCUUUUCAAGUCCGCCGUCAAAUCCCAGGGCUCAACCCUGGACAGGCGGUGGAAACUACCAAGCUGGAGUACGGUAGGGGCAGAGGGAAUUUCCGGUGGAGCGGUGAAAUGCGUAGAGAUCGGGUGGAACACCAGGGGCGAAGGCGGCAUCCUGGCCCAGAACUGACGCUGAGGCGCGAGAGCGUGGGGAGCGAACCGG